CAACUCGCCUGCAUGAAGCUGGAAUUGCAGUAAUCGCGGAUCAGCAAGCCGCGGUGAAUACGUUCCCGGGCCUUGUACACACCGCCCGUCACACCAUGAGAGUCGGGAACACCCGAAGCCGGUGGGGUAACCUUUUGGAGCCAGCCGUCUAAGGUGGGACAGAUGAUUGGGGUGAAGUCGUAACAAGGUAGC
rnacentral:rRNA from 1 species